ensembl:lncRNA
UUGCCAUUAAAAAAAAAAAAAAACAUUUUUAAAAAGUUCAGCCUGACCUUACUUAAAGUGUCACAUUAAUAUAUUAUAUUAAUAUAUUUACAUACUUGUAUAUGACGUUAAAAUCCCAUAUUGAAUUAACUGAAAUGUUUAUCUGAACGAACAUAGCUAUAUAGUUGUGUUUUUGGUUACUUUUUAUUUUCAUUAAAAUAAGUUUGAGCUCAAUAACAGGGAGCACUCUCUGUCAAAGAUUCCUGAUCUAAGGCAUAACUGAUCAUUUAGAAGAGACCAUCUGCACAGUUCCCGUCACUAUCCACUCCACUGACAGACGUGUAAACACACAACGAUAACCACUAACAUUCGCACAUGACAAGAGCGAGAGCCAGCUGCUGAACGAAAGACAAUUCAAGUGCAGGUGGUUUAGAUAAAAGUUCAGCUAUCACAGGUGAAAAAUACUACUAUUUAAUUUUACUAUUAACAAAAACAAGGCUGUCACUUUCUCUCCUGUCUUUCUAGACUGUCAUUCUGUCGUCCUCCUGAGCUGUGGAGUGUGACAAUGGUGUUUGUAUCCUGUGUUGUCAAACGCCAUUAUCACACUAAAUAGCCACGGUGAGACCUCACAACCACCUCAGCCAAUCAGCACAGAGAAACACAUUACUGAUGAUGGACUCUAUUGUGGGAAUGUGAAACACCCUUGUGUCUUUAAGAGUGGCAAUCCCAACAUCUGUCAGUUUCAUACCCACACCUGGACAUAAAAGAGGAAAUUUGUGCAGGUUGCCCUCGGUCUGUGUAUAGACCCAGUGCUGGAAGGCGCAGCAUUUCUGUCCCGCCUCAGAGUCUCUGCGCAUCAGGUUGAUCUCCUUCCCAUCCUUCACUGAGUACUUCACAAAAUCUCCCAGCAGCUCCUCCUCCAGCGUGGCGUAAGGGACAUCAUUAGAUGGCCGGUGCACCAAAUAAAUAGGGAUGAUUCUGGGAAUAUAAAAGACA